GAUCUCGUAGUGUAGUGGUUAUCACAUCUGUCUCACACACUGAAGGUCGGCGGUUCGAGCCCCCCCGAGGUCA
rnacentral:tRNA from 1 species